CAUGCUAAGUCCCAAGAUCUGCAGGGUGAGCCGGCAGCUGGAGGCCCAGGACAGCUGAUGGCGUGAGUUCCAGUGGAAUCCAAAGGUUACUCUUGGCUAGAGAUCAGAGAACUAUUGACGGGGACAGGUCUGGAGGCAAAGGAUCAGUGGAAGGCUGCUGCAGGUUGGAAACCAGCUUUGCCAUUUAUCCACGGUGUCCUCGGACGGGUGACGUAACUUCUGCAAGCCUCACUCUACUCACCUCCAUCGUGAGAACGACAGCUCCAAAAAGCACAAAAUAUAUGAGUAUCUGGUUCACAAA